rnacentral:misc_RNA from 1 species
AACAUCGCGCACCUGCGGGAACCUGCGGAGGGAUCAUUAAUGAUUGGUGGCUGUUGCUGACUAGUGUUUCUAGUAUGUGCACGCCACACCUUCAAUCCCACUUACACCUGUGCACCCUCUGUAAUAGAUCUAUGUGGAUACGGAGAUAUGAAAGUUUGCGCUCUCGUACUCUGUUGAAGCAGUCUACUACGUUUUUUUACACACACACAAUAGUCAUUGAAUGUAUUUUUUAUUCUUAUG